rnacentral:rRNA from 1 species
UAUCCAUAACACCUGUGCACUUGUCGGAUGGCUUAGUGAAGACCGCAAGGUUGAAUCUAUCCAUCUACUUUACAUAACAAUUCUGUAACAAAUGUAGUCUUAUUAUAACAUAAUAAAACUUUCAACAACGGAUCUCUUGGCUCUCGCAUCGAUGAAGAACGCAGCGAAAUGCGAUAAGUAAUGUGAAUUGCAGAAUUCAGUGAAUCAUCGAAUCUUUGAACGCACCUUGCGCUCCUUGGUAUUCCGAGGAGCAUGCCUGUUUGAGUGUCAUGAAAACCCUCAACCCUAGAUUGGUUAAAACCUUUCUUUGGUUUGGAUUUGGACGUUUGCCGAUGAUAAGUCGGCUCGUCUUAAAAGUAAUAGCUGGAUCUGUCUCGCGACAUGGUUUGACUUGGCGUAAUAAGUAUUUCGCUAAGGACAUCUUCGGAUGGCCGCGUUGCAGGACUAAAGACCGCUUUCUAAUCCAUUGAUCUUCGGAUUAAUACUCUUGACAUCUGGCCUCAAAUCAGGUAGGACUACCCGCUGAACUUAA